rnacentral:rRNA from 1 species
GAUGAACGCUGGCGGCGUGCCUAACACAUGCAAGUCGAGCGAACGGACGAGAAGCUUGCUUCUCUGAUGUUAGCGGCGGACGGGUGAGUAACACGUGGAUAACCUACCUAUAAGACUGGGAUAACUUCGGGAAACCGGAGCUAACACCGGAUGAUAUUUUGAACCGCAUGGUUCAUAAGUGAAAGACGGUCUUGCUGUCACUUAUAGAUGGAUCCGCGCUGCAUUAGCUAGUUGGUAAGGUAACGGCUUACCAAGGCAACGAUGCAUAGCCGACCUGAGAGGGUGAUCGGCCACACUGGAACUGAGACACGGUCCAGACUCCUACGGGAGGCAGCAGUAGGGAAUCUUCCGCAAUGGGCGAAAGCCUGACGGAGCAACGCCGCGUGAGUGAUGAAGGUCUUCGGAUCGUAAAACUCUGUUAUUAGGGAAGAACAUAUGUGUAAGUAACUGUGCACAUCUUGACGGUACCUAAUCAGAAAGCCACGGCUAACUACGUG